rnacentral:lncRNA from 1 species
AGUAAAACAGCAGAAAAUGUAUUUUUUUUUAAGGUUUAAUUUAGGAAAUAAGACACCUGCAGAGGGACACAGCACUUUCAAUCUUUGUCAUUUGUUUCAGUAACACUGAAUUUUACGAUAUUGAAUAGCAAUAGCAGAUAUUAUCGCUGUUACAUUCAAAAAAGAGCUUCAAGAAAAACAGUAUGAAAUACAAAGCAUAACCAAAUUAUCUGGCUUAAAUUAUCUAAGUGUUUCUGUGUGUGCAUUUAAAUGUUUUCAAUAUAAUCAAGGAAUGUAAUUUAGAAAAAUAGCAGCGGCAUACUCAUUAGAAGAUAUAUACAAAAUAUGUACAGGUCCUCGGGGCUACCAAUGUUUUUUACAGUUCAACCAACAAUUUAUCUCAGUCCUCAGUCCACUACUUAGUCCUGGGGUGGGCACUGGGCCUCAACUACAGAGUUCAGGCCUGGGUAUCACCUGCUCACUUGGCCAUGGAAAAGCUAUGCAGGGUGGAUGCGGUGGUUGGUAGAGGCUGGCAGAGCGAGCAGGGACAGGGCAUACCAGGAAAGUGCCUGUAGGAGCUGGCUAGGUGGAGAGGGUCCUUCAACAGGCUCUGUACGGGUGCAUGGUGGAAGCCCAGGUAGCUUGCAGAGGGUGGUGAGUGUGGGGCUGGAGCCGGGAGAGGCGAAGGGUGGUGGAGAGCCGAGGCCGUGCUACCCACCAGUGAGUGCAGGGACUGGGCCAGGGGGUGUAGGGGGAGGUGAGCUGUGGGGGCCGGAGGGUUGAUCCGGCGGUGGCUAGUGCGACUCUGGGAACCACCACCUCCAUACACAUCCCCCACCAGCUUCUUCAUCUCCUCCAGGGAGCUGGACAGCAUGAGGAUGUAGUUACGGGCCAACAUCAGGGUGGAGAUCUUGGAGAGCUUGCGGACGGAGGGUCCCUGGGCAUAGGGCAUGACCUCUCUCAGGCCGUCCAUGGCCUGGUUCAGGUCGUGCAUCCUCUUCCUCUCCCUGCCGUUCACCUUCAGCCUCAGGUCCUGCACGUCACCCUCUUUGAGGUCAACCCGGGUCUUGCUCUUGCCUCCCCCAGCACAGCGGUCAGUCCUGCCCUGCCCAGCGGCCCUGGCUGCCCCCUCCUCCCGGCAGUAGGCUUGGAACAUCUUGUUGGAGAAGAAGCUACCCAUGGAGUCGUCCACCACCAGAUCUGGAGACGAGGAGCGGCUGGAGUUGGAGCCAGCGUCAGAGUCCAUCUCAACAGAUGAUGUUUAGAAAAUAAAUGUAAAACACGAAAGUGGAAGAAAAAAAAACUAAAACCACAAAGCAAUUGAGGUUAGAGCCAAAGAUUUUGGUGAAAAGUUCUUGAAAAGAAAAAACACAAAGCUGGAUCUUUCUUCACUCUCUGUUGUCUGAGUACGAAAGCCCACAGUUCCCUGAGGGCCGAUGCUCUCUCACUGUCACUUCUGUCAGAGUUCAGUAGAUAGCUAGAUACAGCAGGCGCAGGCUGUGUCUGGUUCUCGUCGGGGG